GUAGGUGGCAAGCGUUGUCCGGAAUUAUUGGGCGUAAAGCGCGCGCAGGCGGUCCUUUAAGUCUGAUGUGAAAGCCCACGGCUCAACCGUGGAGGGUCAUUGGAAACUGGGGGACUUGAGUACAGAAGAGGAAAGCGGAAUUCCAAGUGUAGCGGUGAAAUGCGUAGAGAUUUGGAGGAACACCAGUGGCGAAGGCGGCUUUCUGGUCUGUAACUGACGCUGAGGCGCGAAAGCGUGGGGAGCAAACAGGAUUAGAUACCCUGGUAGUCCACGCCGUAAACGAUGAGUGCUAAGUGUUAGGGGGUUUCCCGCCCCCCUUAGUGCUGCAGCUAACGCAUUAAGCACUCCGCCUGGGGGAGUACGGCCCGCAAGGCUA
rnacentral:rRNA from 1 species